rnacentral:rRNA from 1 species
GACGAACGCUGGCGGCGUGCUUAACACAUGCAAGUCGAACGAAGAGCGAUGGAAGCUUGCUUCUAUCAAUCUUAGUGGCGAACGGGUGAGUAACGCGUAAUCAACCUGCCCUUCAGAGGGGGACAACAGUUGGAAACGACUGCUAAUACCGCAUACGAUCUAAUCUCGGCAUCGAGGAUAGAUGAAAGGUGGCCUCUACAUGUAAGCUAUCACUGAAGGAGGGGAUUGCGUCUGAUUAGCUAGUUGGAGGGGUAACGGCCCACCAAGGCGAGGAUCAGUAGACGGACCACGAAGAUUCACAGCGACGUUGGGACAGAGACGCGGCCAAGACUACGACGAGAGGGAGCAGUGGUGAAGCUUCCGCAACGGACGAAAGUCUGAUGGAGCAACGCCGCGUGAGUGAUGACGGCCCUCGGGUUGUAAAGAUCUGUUAAUCGAGACGAAAGGACUUCUUGCGAAUAGAGAGAAGGAUUGACGGUACCGGAAAAGAAAGCCACGGCUAAAUCCGUG